GAGGGAAAGGCGAAAAGAACCCCGGCGAGGGGAGUGAAAAAGAACCUGAAACCGUGUACGUACAAGCAGUAGGAGCCUCUUUAUGGGGUGACUGCGUACCUUUUGUAUAAUGGGUCAGCGACUUAUAUUCUGUAGCGAGGUUAACCGUAUAGGGGAGCCGUAGGGAAACCGAGUCUUAACUGGGCGAAUGAGUUGCAGGGUAUAGACCCGAAACCCGGUGAUCUA
rnacentral:rRNA from 1 species